UACGAAGGGGGCUAGCGUUGUUCGGAUUUACUGGGCGUAAAGCGCACGUAGGCGGAUAUUUAAGUCAGGGGUGAAAUCCUGGAGCUCAACUCCAGAACUGCCUUUGAUACUGGGUAUCUAGAGUCCGGAAGAGGUGAGUGGAACUCCUAGUGUAGAGGUGGAAUUCGUAGAUAUCAGGAAGAACACCCGUGGCGAAGGCGGCUCUCUGGAACGCAACUGACGCUGAGACGCGAAAGCGUGGGGAGCAAACAGG
rnacentral:rRNA from 1 species